UUCUACGAAGUUCUGAAAGAAAAUAAACUCCCAACCUAGAUUUUUAAAUAUUAACAAUAGAGCCUUCAAUAAUGAAAAUGGUAAUCAAGAUAUUUUCAGACCAAAACUUAUAAAAAAUUUUUUUUCUUCCUGUAGGCACGCAUUACUAGAAGUAACACUGAAGUUUUUUUUUUUUUUUCCGGUGGUGGGAAAAUGAAAUCAGAUGGAACCCAUGAGAUGCGGGAAAGAAUAAAGAGCAACUAAAAAAGACAGAGGAAUACACGCUUUUUUCUAAAGACAGAAGAUUAUCUAUUAAAGCUGAGACCAUUGUGUUUCUACCUUGAGGCAUGAAACAACAGAAUAAUAUAGACCAAGACCUGGAAUUUUCAGUGACUUAUUCGAGGUUAUUCAGCCAAGUCCAUGACCAUCGUCAAGGAGGAAGAUAUCUUCAAGAGAACAAAAACAAGCCACCACACUAAAGUACAAGCAAGAGAUGGGGAAAGACAUAGAAGAGUGCUGGUGGUAAUAUUUUAAGUAUUUACAGUUCCUGAGACCAGAUCAUGAAAUUUUCAGUUACACAAGUGAAUGUACAUUCCCCUUUUUUGCUUGAGUUUGAUUUUUG